GGAGUUAGCCGGUGCUUCUUCUGCGAGUAACGUCACAGAUGUAAGGUAUUAACUUACACCCUUUCCUCCUCGCUGAAAGUGCUUUACAACCCGAAGGCCUUCUUCACACACGCGGCAUGGCUGCAUCAGGGUUUCCCCCAUUGUGCAAUAUUCCCCACUGCUGCCUCCCGUAGGAGUCUGGGCCGUGUCUCAGUCCCAGUGUGGCUGAUCAUCCUCUCAGACCAGCUAGGGAUCGUCGCCUAGGUGAGCCUUUACCUCACCUACUAGCUAAUCCCACCUGGGCUUAUCCAUCAGCGCAAGGCCCGAAGGUCCCCUGCUUUCCCCCGUAGGGCGUAUGCGGUAUUAGCAGUCGUUUCCAACUGUUAUCCCCCACAAAUGGGCAAAUUCCCAGGCAUUACUCACCCGUCCGCCGCUCGUCAUCUUCAAAAGCAAGCUUUUAGAAAUGUUACCGCUCGACUUGCAUGUGUUAGGCCUGCCGCCAGCGUUCAAUCUGAGCCAUGAUCAAACUCUGA
rnacentral:rRNA from 1 species